rnacentral:rRNA from 1 species
AUUGAACGCUGGCGGCAGGCCUAACACAUGCAAGUCGAGCGGUAGAGAGAAGCUUGCUUCUCUUGAGAGCGGCGGACGGGUGAGUAAUGCCUAGGAAUCUGCCUGGUAGUGGGGGAUAACGCUCGGAAACGGACGCUAAUACCGCAUACGUCCUACGGGAGAAAAGCAGGGGACCUUCGAGCCUUGCGCUAUCAGAUGAGCCUAGGUCGGAUUAGCUAGUUGGUGAGGUAAUGGCUCACCAAGGCGACGAUCCGUAACUGGUCUGAGAGGAUGAUCAGUCACACUGGAACUGAGACACGGUCCAGACUCCUACGGGAGGCAGCAGUGGGGAAUAUUGGACAAUGGGCGAAAGCCUGAUCCAGCCAUGCCGCGUGUGUGAAGAAGGUCUUCGGAUUGUAAAGCACUUUAAGUUGGGAGGAAGGGCAUUAACCUAAUACGUUGGUGUCUUGACGUUACCGACAGAAUAAGCACCGGCUAACUCUGUGCCAGCAGCCGCGGUAAUACAGAGGGUGCAAGCGUUAAUCGGAAUUACUGGGCGUAAAGCGCGCGUAGGUGGUUCGUUAAGUUGGAUGUGAAAUCCCCGGGCUCAACCUGGGAACUGCAUUCAAAACUGACGAGCUAGAGUAUGGUAGAGGGUGGUGGAAUUUCCUGUGUAGCGGUGAAAUGCGUAGAUAUAGGAAGGAACACCAGUGGCGAAAGGCGACCACCUGGACUGAUACUGACACUGAGGUGCGAAAGCGUGGGGAGCAAACAGGAUUAGAUACCCUGGUUAGUCCACGCCGUAAACGAUGUCAACUAGCCGUUGGGAGCCUUGAGCUCUUAGUGGCGCAGCUAACGCAUUAAGUUGACCGCCUGGGGAGUACGGCCGCAAGGUUAAAACUCAAAUGAAUUGACGG